UAUGAUAUUUUUGUGGCUACAGUUUAAAGGGCACUUCCUGUUUGUGGAGUAAAGCCUACCACAUUAUCAAAAUAUGUAACUGAGGGAUUACAGUAUGACCUCCUGUGAUUUGAUUUCUAUACUGUUGCCUUAAAUAGCAAUGAGUAAAUCUUCCAAAUUAUGUCACAAGACUUCUUGUCCAAGAAGCAAUAUAUUCUGCAAUCUCAUUGACAAAAUUGUUAAAAGACCAUCCUUGCAGUUUUUGGGUCAGUGGGGAUAUCACUGUUACGAACCUAGGAUUUACAGAACCCUGGCAAAAAUUCUGAGGUAUGUCGACUUGGAUGGGUUUGACAUACUACUCUCAGACUAUAUUGCAUUUGUGGAAAAAUCAGGAUACCGUUUCGAACUGAAUUUUAAUCUUGAAUUUACUGAAAUAUGUGUGAAUACUAUUCUGUACUGGGUUUUUGCGAGGAAGGGUAAUCCUGACUUUGUGGAAUUGCUUCUCAAGAAAACAAAGAACUAUGUUCAAGAUAGAAGUUGUAACCUGGCACUGAUAUGGAGAACUUUCACACCAGUAUACUGUCCAAGCCCACUAAGUGGUAUUACACCUCUACUCUAUGUAGCUCAGACAAGACAAUCUACUAUCUUAAAAAUACUCCUGCAAUAUGGAAUCUUAGAAAGAGAAAAAAACCCUAUCAACAUUGUGAUAACAAUAUUGCUCUACCCUUCAAGAGUAAGAAUAAUGGUUGAUCAUGAAUUAGUAGACAUCCAGGAAGAUGCCAAAACAUGUUUACAGCUAUGUUCCAGAGUGCUUUCUGCCAUUUCAAUUAGGGAAAUAGAGUUUUCAGGGUCCAAACAGGAAGAAGAGAGCAUCCCUGGUAUGGGAGAAGCAAAGCCAGAACAAAGUAAGAAUGGAGAGGUGGUACAGCACAGAAGGAGAAGGAAGGUACCAUAAUGGAGGGCUGCCCAGCACAGAGUAUAUGAACCUGAACAAGGUCAAGAGGGUAUCCACACAAGGGGAGAGAAGGCAGCCUGGUGUAGUAAAACCUAUGGAAAGUCUCUGUGUAGGAGGGCAUUUUAAUACAGAGUAUCAGAACCCGAGAGAGGUGAGAUGGAGAAGGAUGGUUUAGUAGAGAAUGCUAGAACACAGGCAACAAUGAGGAUGACAUCAUAGGACAGAGAGUGGCAGCAGUCAGAGACUGGUCACAUAGAUGGGUCAAAUAUGCUAAUAUAUUAAGGAUACUGAGAGCCAGAUUUCUCAUUGUCAGAGAAGGGAGUUACUAAUAUUGAAGUAGAGAAAAUGAAUAUGAACCUUGGGAUGUCAAACUGAAAUUGCAGAAUGUGCUCUAGAGAAUGUGCUCUACAAAAAAGGAGAGAGUAAGCCAAAUCAGAAGACAACCUGGGACA